AGCAGAGGAAUUGCUUCAGGAGUGGUUGCGUUGGAAGGGAGAACUACAGAGCGAUCUAGGAAAGAUUUGUAUCUGACACUCUUGACAUCAUUUGAGUCCAUAAAGGAAGGCAUUAUCAGAAAGGCAUUCAGGAAGCAGGGCUGCUGAUGAC